rnacentral:rRNA from 1 species
UACGAAGGGUGCAAGCGUUACUCGGAAUUACUGGGCGUAAAGCGUGCGUAGGCGGUUUGUUAAGUCUGUCGUGAAAGCCCCGGGCUCAACCUGGGAAUGGCGAUGGAUACUGGCAAGCUAGAGUGUGUCAGAGGAUGGUGGAAUUCCCGGUGUAGCGGUGAAAUGCGUAGAGAUCGGGAGGAACACCAGUGGCGAAGGCGGCCAUCUGGGACAACACUGACGCUGAGGCACGAAAGCGUGGGGAGCAAACAGGAUUAGAAACCCUAGUAGUCC